rnacentral:misc_RNA from 1 species
UCUCCAUUGGUGAACCAGCGGAGGGAUCAUUACCGAGUUUAUAACUCCCAAACCCAAUGUGAACCAUACCAAACUGUUGCCUCGGCGGGGUCACGCCCCGGGUGCGUCGCAGCCCCGGAACCAGGCGCCCGCCGGAGGGACCAACCAAACUCUUUCUGUAGUCCCCUCGCGGACGUUAUUUUUACAGCUCUGAGCAAAAAUUCAAAAUGAAUCAAAACUUUCAACAACGGAUCUCUUGGUUCUG